ACCGCGAUGGCCGAGCGGUUAAGGCGUUGGACUUAAGUUCCAAUCCCAUUAUGGGUCGUGGGUUCGAACCCCACUUGCGGUA
rfam:Rhabditophanes sp. KR3021 genome assembly, scaffold: RSKR_contig0000040